rnacentral:misc_RNA from 1 species
GAUGAAGAACGUAGCGAAAUGCGAUACGUAGUGUGAAUUGCAGAAUUCCGUGAACCAUCAAAUCUUUGAACGCAUAUUGCGCUCGCGGCUUCGGCCGAGAGCAUGUCUGCCUCAGCGUCGGUAUUACCCCUCGCUUCUCAACCCCUGGUUGAUGCCUGCCUGCCUUUGCAGUUGGCUAGAAGCGGAUCUGGCUUUCCCAAUUGCCUUUGGUAGUUGGGUCAGCUGAAGCACAGAGGCUUGAGCAAGGACCCUUAUUGGGCGUCAACUGGAUAGGUAGAACUGGUCUUAGGACCAACUACACGAAGUUGUUGCUUGUGGUCUUUGUCUGGAGGCCAGCAGGAAACCUUUAUACCUUCGACCUGAGCUCAGGCAAGAUUACCCGCUGAACUUAAGCAUAUCAAUAAGCGGAGGA